UACGAAGGGGGCGAGCGUUGUUCGGAGUUACUGGGCGUAAAGGGCGCGUAGGCGGCGCUCCAAGUUAGGCGUGAAAGCCCCGGGCUCAACCUGGGAAUAGCGCUUAAGACUGGAGUGCUCGAGUGCGGAAGAGGUGAGUGGAAUUCCCAGUGUAGAGGUGAAAUUCGUAGAUAUUGGGAAGAACACCAGUGGCGAAGGCGGCUCACUGGACUGGUAUUGACGCUGAGGUGCGAAAGCGUGGGGAGCAAACAGG
rnacentral:rRNA from 1 species